rnacentral:rRNA from 1 species
AUUGAACGCUGGCGGCAUGCCUUACACAUGCAAGUCGAACGGUAGAGGGGGCAACCCCUUGAGAGUGGCGAACGGGUGAGUAAUGCAUCGGAACGUGCCCAGUCGUGGGGGAUAGCCCGGGGAAACCCGGAUUAAUACCGCAUACGACCUGAGGGUGAAAGCGGGGGACCGCAAGGCCUCGCGCGCUUGGAGCGGCCGAUGUCGGAUUAGCUAGUUGGCGGGGUAAAGGCCUACCAAGGCGACGAUCCGUAGCUGGUCUGAGAGGACGACCAGCCACACUGGGACUGAGACACGGCCCAGACUCCUACGGGAGGCAGCAGUGGGAAAUUUUGGACAAUGGGGGGAACCCUGAUCCAGCCAUGCCGCGUGCGGGAAGAAGGCCUUCGGGUUGUAAACCGCUUUUGUCAGGGAAGAAAUCCUUUGGGUUAAUAACCUGGGGGGAUGACGGUACCUGAAGAAUAAGCACCGGCUAACUACGUGCCAGCAGCCGCAGUAA